rnacentral:rRNA from 1 species
AAGCGGGAAAAGCUCAAAUUUAAAAUCUGGUGGCCUCUGGUCAUCCGAGUUGUAAUUUAGAGAAGCGUCUUCCGCGCUGGACCGUGCACAAGUCUCCUGGAAUGGAGCGUCAUAGAGGGUGAGAAUCCCGUCUUUGGCACGGAUCCCGGGGCUUUUGUGAUGCGCUCUCGAAGAGUCGAGUUGUUUGGGAAUGCAGCUCAAAAUGGGUGGUGAACUCCAUCUAAAGCUAAAUAUUGGCGAGAGACCGAUAGCGAACAAGUACCGUGAGGGAAAGAUGAAAAGCACUUUGGAAAGAGAGUGAAACAGUACGUGAAAUUGUUGAAAGGGAAACGCUUGAAGUCAGUCGCGUCGUCCGAGACUCAGCCUCGCCUCGGCUUGGUGUACUUCUCGACCGACGGGUCAGCAUCAAUUUUGCCCCUUGGAUAAUGGCGUGGGAAAUGUGGCACCUUUGCGGGUGCGUUAUAGUCCCUCGUCGCAUGCAAGGGUCGGGAUUGAGGAACUCAGCACGCGCCUUUUGGCGUCGGGGCCUUUGCCCACGAUACGUGCUUAGGAUGUUGGCGUAAUGGCUUUAAACGACCCGUCUUGAAACACGGACCAAGGAGUCUAACAUGCCCGCGAGUGUUCGGGUGGAAAACCCGUGCGCGCAAUGAAAGUGAAAGUUGGGACCUCUGUCGUGGAGGGCACCGACGCCCGGACCAGACCUUCUGUGACGGAUCUGCGGUGGAGCGUGUAUGUUAGGACCCGAAAGAUGGUGAACUAUGCCUGAAUAGGGUGAAGCCAGAGGAAACUCUGGUGGAGGCUCGUAGCGAUUCUGACGUGCAAAUCGAUCGUCAAAUUUGGGUAUAGGGGCGAAAGACUAAUCGAACCAUCUAGUAGCUGGUUCCUG